CCUAGAAAAACACGCUCCAAUCGAGCAUUUCUAUUUAACUCUUCAUAUCAGCUGGAUAGACAAUGCUGUCGCAUUUAUUUUGAUAAAAAUACUGUUUUGUAAUUAAACAAGAAUAAAUGUCUAGACCUGUGAGCUGAGCUGUUAAAGUGGGUAUCAAUUUUUAACCUGCUUGACAGAGGUCUCUUUGACAUUGUUGUUGAAAACCGACCUCUGUCCUUUGGAGAGAAACUAUAACACCAAGACAGAGUUUGGGAUAAAGAGCUUUAUUGGGAUAAAUAGCUUUAUUGUUUUGCUGGGUAAAGGAGGCGGCAAUAGGCUAUGACCCUCAAAAAACUGCAUGCUCUUCCAGAGGAAAGGACUGAGAGGUUUUAUAGGGAAAUACAGGAUCUAGCCAGUUUCAACAGGAAUCAUGUACAUGUACAAUGCCUCCUCAGGAUUUUUCAGCGGUUUUAAUAUGGUCACAGAAAAUGUUCUUCCUCACGAACCCUGGCACUGCAGGACGGGAGCAGAGCUGAUGAGGAAAGAACAGCUCCAGCCCUCUCCCUACCCCUCCAAACUCUACAGGAAUUUUCCCUUCCUGAUAAUCCUUUUGUUUGUUUGUUUGUUUUUAAUCUCAAACCAUAAUAUAGUUUUCAUGGUUUUCUACAACAAUGGUAUAGAAAGAUAUGAAGAAAAAUGAAUAUCCCCACAGCUAGAUCAUUUUAUGAGCAAUUUACAAUUUAAAACUUAAGAAAUCAAGAUUUCAAAUUUGUCAGGAGCUUGUUAAAAUUCACAACAGAAAAAAAUAAGUACUUGUCACCCAAAAUAAUUUAAUUAAAUAAUUAAAUAAUGAUUUAGGUAUCACUUAAAAUUUAUAAUUAAAAACUAAAAGUGGGGUGGCUGGGUGGCUCAGAUAGUUGUGUCCAACUCUUGAUGUCAGCUGAGGUCAUGAUCUCAGGGUUGUGAGAUCCAGCCCCUUGUUGGGCAUGGAAUCUGCUUAAGAUUUCUUGUCUAUUUCUGCCCCUCUCCCAACCUCUCUCUCCUUCUCUCUCUAAAAAAAAAAAAAAGGAAAACUAAAAAGCAAUAGAACGUUGACAAAAAUGUUAAAUCUGCAAAUUAAAAAAAUAUUUGUUCCAUCAAUUGCAGAUGAGUGUGCUAAAUAACAAAAAUUCAAAGCAAUAAAUUUUAAAGAUGUAAUUGGCUUUAACUAAUC
rnacentral:lncRNA from 12 species